AGAGUUUGAUCCUGGCUCAGGACGAACGCUGGCGGCGUGCCUAAUACAUGCAAGUCGAGCGAGCGGAACUAACAGAUUUACUUCGGUAAUGACGUUAGGAAAGCGAGCGGCGGAUGGGUGAGUAACACGUGGGGAACCUGCCCCAUAGUCUGGGAUACCACUUGGAAACAGGUGCUAAUACCGGAUAAGAAAGCAGAUCGCAUGAUCAGCUUUUAAAAGGCGGCGUAAGCUGUCGCUAUGGGAUGGCCCCGCGGUGCAUUAGCUAGUUGGUAAGGUAAAGGCUUACCAAGGCGAUGAUGCAUAGCCGAGUUGAGAGACUGAUCGGCCACAUUGGGACUGAGACACGGCCCAAACUCCUACGGGAGGCAGCAGUAGGGAAUCUUCCACAAUGGACGCAAGUCUGAUGGAGCAACGCCGCGUGAGUGAAGAAGGUUUUCGGAUCGUAAAGCUCUGUUGUUGGUGAAGAAGGAUAGAGGUAGUAACUGGCCUUUAUUUGACGGUAAUCAACCAGAAAGUCACGGCUAACUACGUGCCAGCAGCCGCGGUAAUACGUAGGUGGCAAGCGUUGUCCGGAUUUAUUGGGCGUAAAGCGAGCGCAGGCGGAAGAAUAAGUCUGAUGUGAAAGCCCUCGGCUUAACCGAGGAACUGCAUCGGAAACUGUUUUUCUUGAGUGCAGAAGAGGAGAGUGGAACUCCAUGUGUAGCGGUGGAAUGCGUAGAUAUAUGGAAGAACACCAGUGGCGAAGGCGGCUCUCUGGUCUGCAACUGACGCUGAGGCUCGAAAGCAUGGGUAGCGAACAGGAUUAGAUACCCUGGUAGUCCAUGCCGUAAACGAUGAGUGCUAAGUGUUGGGAGGUUUCCGCCUCUCAGUGCUGCAGCUAACGCAUUAAGCACUCCGCCUGGGGAGUACGACCGCAAGGUUGAAACUCAAAGGAAUUGACGGGGGCCCGCACAAGCGGUGGAGCAUGUGGUUCAUCUAGUGCCAUUUGUAGAGAUACAAAGUUCCCUUCGGGGACGCUAAGACAGGUGGUGCAUGGCUGUCGUCAGCUCGUGUCGUGAGAUGUUGGGUUAAGUCCCGCAACGAGCGCAACCCUUGUUAUUAGUUGCCAGCAUUAAGUUGGGCACUCUAAUGAGACUGCCGGUGACAAACCGGAGGAAGGUGGGGAUGACGUCAAGUCAUCAUGCCCCUUAUGACCUGGGCUACACACGUGCUACAAUGGGCAGUACAACGAGAAGCGAGCCUGCGAAGGCAAGCGAAUCUCUGAAAGCUGUUCUCAGUUCGGACUGCAGUCUGCAACUCGACUGCACGAAGCUGGAAUCGCUAGUAAUCGCGGAUCAGCACGCCGCGGUGAAUACGUUCCCGGGCCUUGUACACACCGCCCGUCACACCAUGGGAGUCUGCAAUGCCCAAAGCCGGUGGCCUAACCUUCGGGAAGGAGCCGUCUAAGGCAGGGCAGAUGACUGGGGUGAAGUCGUAACAAGGUAGCCGUAGGAGAACCUGCGGCUG
rnacentral:rRNA from 1 species